rnacentral:lncRNA from 1 species
AUGGACUCAUAGCACCUAUUGAUCUAAGCAAUGGUGGUAAUGGAUGACUGACAUUCUGUAAGACACAGCACAGUAGAAUCAAGAUGAUCAAAGAAACUCGGUGAACCUGAAAUUGGAUCAAAACAAAUUAUCGCUCAGAAUAAUAGAGAAAACUUGGAAACUGCAAGUGGAGCAUCAGCAGACCUUGGAAUCAAUGCAGGUUGACAGCAGACUCAACUCUGGAAUGUAUGCUUUGGAGAUGGGUUUAAAGACUUGGACUCUGUCUUCGAUCCCGAAGCAACCCUGCAGCUUGAUUACAGGCCCUCUUAGCCUCAAAUCCGCAUUGGUGCUGUAGGACGCAAGACCCACGCAGGUUCCACAGCAGUCCUGCUGAGAUGUGAGGACGUUACAGUCAUCAGCAAGCCAAGUAAAAGAUCUGCUUUGUACCCUGGAGCAAACCCCAAUCCCCUUGCUUUAAAUCCUGGAGACAGUCUAGUUCAACCAUGAACCACCCAUAAA